UUCCACGAAAUCAAUUUCAAUCCACCUCUUUACUUUGAUUCCCCUUUCCUUGAUAUACUAAGUAGCUCCUCUCAUGACAGGUUAUAAGAUUAUCUGCUGGAACACAGGAUCUUCCAAAAUCCAUUUUAUGCAACAUCCAUGGUGUCAACCCCAAGUUUCUUGAGGUUGGGAAGAAAAAGCAAGUGCUGCUGAAAAAUGGAAACCAAGCCUUCACCAAGGGCGCAUACUACAUAGGGAAAAUGGUGUGGAAUAAAGGCUACAGAGAGCUCCUUAAAUUACUUUCUCAUCACCAGAAGGAACUAAAAGGUCUUCAGGUUGAUUUAUUUGGAAAUGGAGAUGACCACGAUCAAGUUAAAGAAGCAGCUAAAAAAUUUAGAACUUACGGUUAAGGUCCACCCUGGGUGUGACCAUGCUGACCCUUUAUUUCAUGAUUACAAGGUUCUCCAAAUUCCAAGC